rnacentral:rRNA from 1 species
GAUGAACGCUGGCGGCGUGCCUAAUACAUGCCAGUCGAGCGAACGGACGAGAAGCUUGCUUCUCUGAUGUUAGCGGCGGACGGGUGAGUAACACGUGGAUAACCUACCUAUAAGACUGGGAUAACUUCGGGAAACCGGAGCUAAUACCGGAUAAUAUUUUGAACCGCAUGGUUCAAAAGUGAAAGACGGUCUUGCUGUCACUUAUAGAUGGAUCCGCGCUGCAUUAGCUAGUUGGUAAGGUAACGGCUUACCAAGGCAACGAUGCAUAGCCGACCUGAGAGGGUGAUCGGCCACACUGGAACUGAGACACGGUCCAGACUCCUACGGGAGGCAGCAGUAGGGAAUCUUCCGCAAUGGGCGAAAGCCUGACGGAGCAACGCCGCGUGAGUGAUGAAGGUCUUCGGAUCGUAAAACUCUGUUAUUAGUGAAGAACAUAUGUGUAAGUAACUGUGCACAUCUUGACGGUACCUAAUCAGAAAGCCACGGCUAACUACGUG